rnacentral:rRNA from 1 species
GAUAAACGCUCGGCGGCGCACAUAAGACAUGCAAGUCGAACGGAAGUCGUUAUAAAAGGAUUGAAGAUUUAUCUGAUUGAUAUUUUAUAACAAUGGCUUUAGUGGCGGACUGGUGAGUAACGCGUAAGCAAUCUACCUAUUAGAGGGGGAUAACAGUUAGAAAUGACUGCUAAUACCGCAUAAGCGCACAGUGCCGCAUGGCAGUGUGUGAAAAACUCCGGUGGUGUGAGAUGGAUCCGCGUCUGAUUAGCCAGUUGGCGGGGUAACGGCCCACCAAAGCGACGAUCAGUAGCCGACCUGAGAGGGUGACCGGCCACAUUGGGACUGAGACACGGCCCAA